rnacentral:antisense_RNA from 1 species
UCAUUCUCCAAGUCUGAGUUAUUUGGUCAAGAAAAACCCCAAAUGCUUCAGACAACUCUCGCAAACUUGUCAUAGCUUUUGGUGUUCCAGGCCACAGAAGAGCCCAGGCAGAAUCAGUGUUAUAUUUGUGGUCAGAUGAGCUAACGACAUCCUUCCUGACUUCUUUCUCAGAAUUAGGAAACCCUGAUUAGCAUUUAUAACCUCAUUUUCACAGACUUCACUCAUUAAAACAUCAAGACCUAGGUAACACAUCAGUGAAAUUUCAUAAUGUGGAGGAUAUGUUUAAAAUAUGUAUUUUAAACUGUGGUUAAAAUAUGUUUUUAAAAUGUUUAUGAGUCAAAAUAAUUAAAAUUGCCAUUUAACAUAA